UACGGAGGGUGCAAGCGUUAAUCGGAAUCACUGGGCGUAAAGCGCACGCAGGCGGUUUGUUAAGUCAGAUGUGAAAGCCCCGGGCUCAACCUGGGAACUGCAUAUGAUACUGGCAAACUAGAGUAUGGUAGAGAGAAGUGGAAUUCCGCAUGUAGCGGUGAAAUGCGUAGAGAUGCGGAGGAACAUCAGUGGCGAAGGCGACUUCUUGGACCAAUACUGACGCUCAGGUGCGAAAGCGUGGGGAGCAAACAGG
rnacentral:rRNA from 1 species